rnacentral:rRNA from 1 species
CAGGCAUAACACAUGCAAAUCGAACGGUAACAGGAAGCAGCUUGCUGCUUCGCUGACGAGUGGCGGACGGGUGAGUAAUGUCUGGGAAACUGCCUGAUGGAGGGGGAUAACUACUGGAAACGGUGGCUAAUACCGCAUAACGUCGCAAGACCAAAGAGGGGGACCUUCGGGCCUCUUGCCAUCAGAUGUGCCCAGAUGGGAUUAGCUUGUUGGUGAGGUAACGGCUCACCAAGGCGACGAUCCCUAGCUGGUCUGAGAGGAUGACCAGCCACACUGGAACUGAGACACGGUCCAGACUCCUACGGGAGGCAGCAGUGGGGAAUAUUGCACAAUGGGCGCAAGCCUGAUGCAGCCAUGCCGCGUGUAUGAAGAAGGCCUUCGGGUUGUAAAGUACUUUCAGCGGGGAGGAAGGUGUUGUGGUUAAUAACCGCAGCAAUUGACGUUACCCGCAGAAGAAGCACCGGCUAACUCCGUGCCAGCAGCCGCGGUAAUACGGAGGGUGCAAGCGUUAAUCGGAAUUACUGGGCGUAAAGCGCACGCAGGCGGUCUGUCAAGUCGGAUGUGAAAUCCCCGGGCUCAACCUGGGAACUGCAUUCGAAACUGGCAGGCUUGAGUCUUGUAGAGGGGGGUAGAAUUCCAGGUGUAGCGGUGAAAUGCGUAGAGAUCUGGAGGAAUACCGGUGGCGAAGGG